rnacentral:tRNA from 1 species
AGUCUUAUAUUCAAUAAUGGUAUGAAAUUGCAAAUUUUAAGGUGUAAAUUAUACUAAGGCUU